CUCCGUGGUGAAACCCAAACACUCUACGGUUGGCGUGACGUGAGGAAGAAAGGAAGACCGCGGCAUGCUCACGACAACAUUGUGCUCAUCCUGAGCAACAACAGCCAGGCUAGCAUCCUCCUUCGGUAUCCCAGAGAGACGGAGGAUGAGCGAGCGGGGACUGCCCAUCGGCAGCACUCACGCUGUGUGUGAGCACACACUUGCCAAGAGUGAUGCCCAUCCAAAUGUCAUCUGUUCACCCUGGAACUGGCACCCGUGAACUAAGAAGCUCCUAGAUGGUUGAUUGACAGACGUAUGCAGAGCACCGUCAGAGUGACGCUUGAGUACUGCAUUCCCAGUCAGUCCUGAGUACCUCAAUGAGAAAGUGUGUCAGGAGCUUGGGAGAUGGCCAAGCAAAGUGCUUACUGUGCAAGCAUGAAGACCCGAGUUCAUACUUCAGAACCCACACGAAACGUCAGAUGCGAUGGUGCACACUUGUCAUCCCAACGCUGGGGAGGUGGAGACAGGCAGAUUCCAGCCUACAGCUGCCCCACCACAGACGCCCCACGGAGGCCCUACGGACACCUCAUGGCUACACCACAGCCGACCCCACCAUGGCCGACCUACCAGCUUCCCCAAGACCACCCCACAGCCACCCCA